rnacentral:rRNA from 1 species
CCUGCCCGUUGAGAAAUUUGAAAGGCCGCGGUAUAUUAACUGUGCAAAGGUAGCAUAAUCAUUAGCUUUUUAAUUGAAGGCUUGUAUGAAGGGUUGGACAAAGAAAAUACUGUCUUUUUUUUUAGGGUUGAAGUUAACCUUUAAGUGAAAAGGCCUAAAUAUAUUUAAGGGACCAUAAGACCCUAUAAAUCCUUAUAUUACAGGUGGUUUUUUUAAAAAUAAAAAUUGCU